GAUGCCCGCUUUCUUCUUUCCUAAUACAUGCAAGUCGAGCGAACAGACGAGGAGCUUGCUCCUCUGACGUUAGCGGCGGACGGGUGAGUAACACGUGGAUAACCUACCUAUAAGACUGGGAUAACUUCGGGAAACCGGAGCUAAUACCGGAUAAUAUAUUGAACCGCAUGGUUCAAUAGUGAAAGACGGUUUUGCUGUCACUUAUAGAUGGAUCCGCGCCGCAUUAGCUAGUUGGUAAGGUAACGGCUUACCAAGGCAACGAUGCGUAGCCGACCUGAGAGGGUGAUCGGCCACACUGGAACCGAGACACGGUCCAGACUCCUACGGGAGGCAGCAGUAGGGAAUCUUCCGCAAUGGGCGAAAGCCUGACGGAGCAACGCCGCGUGAGUGAUGAAGGUCUUCGGAUCGUAAAACUCUGUUAUUAGGGAAGAACAAAUGUGUAAGUAACUAUGCACGUCUUGACGGUACCUAAUCAGAAAGCCACGGCUAACUACGUG
rnacentral:rRNA from 1 species